rnacentral:rRNA from 1 species
ACGAACGCUGGCGGCGUGCCUAACACAUGCAAGUCGAACGGAGAUGUUGAUUUCGGUUGACGUCUUAGUGGCGAACGGGUGAGUAACGCGUGAACAAUCUGACCUUAAGAGGGGGAUAACAACGAGAAAUCGUUGCUAAUACCGCAUAAGACCACAAUGCCGCAUGGCGAAGGGGUCAAAGGAGCAAUCCGCUUAAGGAGGGGUUCGCGUCCCAUUAGGUAGUAGGUGAGGUAACGGCCCACCUAGCCGACGAUGGGUAGCCGAGCUGAGAGGCUGAUCGGCCACACUGGAACUGAGACACGGUCCAGACUCCUACGGGAGGCAGCAGUGGGGAAUAUUGGGCAAUGGGCGCAAGCCUGACCCAGCAACGCCGCGUGAGGGAAGAAGGUUUUCGGAUUGUAAACCUCUGUCGCAGAUGACGAAACAAAUGACGGUAAUCUGUGAGGAAGCCCCGGCUAACUACGUGCCAGCAGCCGCGGUAAUACGUAGGGGGCGAGCGUUGUCCGGAAUUACUGGGCGUAAAGGGAGCGUAGGCGGUCGAUUAAGUUGGAUGUGAAAUACCGGGCUUAACUUGGGGGGUGCAUCCAAUACUGGUUGACUAGAGUACAGGAGAGGAAAGCGGAAUUCCUAGUGUAGCGGUGAAAUGCAUAGAUAUUAGGAGGAACAUCGGUGGCGAAGGCGGCUUUCUGGACUGACACUGACGCUGAGGCUCGAAAGCGUGGGGAGCAAACAGGAUUAGAUACCCUGGUAGUCCACGCUGUAAACGAUGAAUACUAGGUGUAGGGGGGUGUAAACUCCCCCUGUGCCGCAGCUAACGCAAUAAGUAUUCCGCCUGGGGAGUACGGCCGCAAGGUUG